rnacentral:rRNA from 1 species
UACGAAGGGGGCUAGCGUUGCUCGGAAUCACUGGGCGUAAAGCGCACGUAGGCGGAUUUGUCAGUCAGGGGUGAAAUCCCGGGGCUCAACCUCGGAACUGCCUUUGAUACAGCAAGUCUUGAGUUCGAGAGAGGUGGGUGGAAUUCCUAGUGUAGAGGUGAAAUUCGUAGAUAUUAGGAAGAACACCGGUGGCGAAGGCGGCCCACUGGCUCGAGUACUGACGCUGAGGUGCGAAAGCGUGGGAGCAACAGGGAUUAAGAAACCCUAGU